CACAUCUGGAGUACUGUGUCCAGUUCUGGGCUCCUCAGCACAAGAGAGACAUGGAGCUCCUAGAGUGGGUCUAGCAGAGGGUGACAAAGAUGACGAAGGGACAGAAGCAUCUCUCUUCUGAGGAUAGGCUGGGAGAGUUGGGCCUGUUCAGCCUCUUGAAGAGACAGCUGCGGGGGAACCUCAACAAUAUCUUUUUUCAGAUAUUCAGACAUGAUCCAGGACCUGAAUAGCUGCAUGUUUCACUAUAGUCAAGGUAUCACAAUUUCCUGCAGGAUCUUGGUUAGCAAGACACACUUAUUACCAAGAAAUUACAUUGCCACAGAUGAUGAAAUCCUGCAAGAAGG